rnacentral:rRNA from 1 species
UAAGAGGGGGGAGUAACAAUCCGGAAACGGGUGCUAAUACCGCAUAGUUUCUUGAUCGCAUGAUGAGAAGGAAAGACGGCCUUUGUGCUGUCGCUUAUGGAUGGACCCGCGGCGUAUUAGUUAGUUGGUGAGGUAACGGCUCACCAAGACGAUGAUACGUAGCCGACCUGAGAGGGUGAUCGGCCACAUUGGGACUGAGACACGGCCCAAACUCCUACGGGAGGCAGCAGUAGGGAAUCUUCCGCAAUGGACGAAAGUCUGACGGAGCAACGCCGCGUGAGUUGAAGAAGGUUUUCGGAUCGUAAAACUCUGUUGUCAGGGAAGAACAAGUUGGAGAGUAACUGCUCCAGCCUUGACGGUAUCUGACCAGAAAGCCACGGCUAACUACGUGCCAGCCGCCGC